rnacentral:rRNA from 1 species
UACGUAGGGUGCAAGCGUUGUCCGGAAUUAUUGGGCGUAAAGAGCUCGUAGGCGGUUUGUCGCGUCGGAUGUGAAACCCCGGGGCUUAACCCCGGGCCUGCAUUCGAUACGGGCUGACUAGAGUUCGGCAGGGGAGACUGGAAUUCCUGGUGUAGCGGUGAAAUGCGCAGAUAUCAGGAGGAACACCGAUGGCGAAGGCAGGUCUCUGGGCCACUACUGACGCUGAGAAGCGAAAGCAUGGGGAGCGAACAGG